rnacentral:rRNA from 1 species
CACGUAGGGGGCGAGCGUUGUUCGGAAUUACUGGGCGUAAAGGGCAUGUAGGCGGUCUUGUAAGCCUGACGUGAAAGGCUAUGGCUUAACCAUGGCAUUGCGUUGGGAACUGCGGGACUUGAAUCACGGAGGGGGAACUGGAAUUCCAGGUGUAGGGGUGAAAUCUGUAGAUAUCUGGAAGAACACCAGUGGCGAAGGCGAGUUCCUGGCCGAUGAUUGACGCUGAGGUGCGAAAGUGUGGGGAUCAAACAGGAUUAGAGACCCUGGUAGUCCACACUGUCAACGAUGUGCACUAGGUGCUGGGGCGGAUGUUUCAGUGCCGGAGCUAACGCGGUAAGUGCACCGCCUGGGGAGUAUGCUCGCAAGGGUGAA